rnacentral:rRNA from 1 species
UGGGGAAUAUUGGACAAUGGGCGAAAGCCUGAUCCAGCAAUGCCGCGUGUGUGAAGAAGGCUUUCGGGUCGUAAAGCACUUUCAAUAGGGAAGAAAAUCUUGAGUAUAAUAAACUCAGGCCUUGACGUUACCUAUAGAAGAAGCACUGGCUAACUCUGUGCCAGCAGCCGCGGUAAUACAGAGAGUGCAAGCGUUAAUCGGAAUUACUGGGCGUAAAGCGCGCGUAGGUGGGUAUUUAAGUCGGAUGUGAAAUCCCCGGGCUCAACCUGGGAACUAUAUUCGAAACUGGGUGCCUAGAGUAUAGUAGAGGGAAGUGGAAUUUCCGGUGUAGCGGUGAAAUGCGUAGAUAUCGGAAGGAACACCAGUGGCGAAGGCGGCUUCCUGGACUAAUACUGACACUGAGGUGCGAAAGCGUGGGGAGCAAACAGG